UACGUAGGGUGCAAGCGUUAUUCGGAUUUACUGGGCGUAAAGCGUGCGCAGGCGGCUUUGCAAGUCAGAUGUGAAAUCCCCGGGCUUAACCUGGGAACUGCAUUUGUGACUGCAUGGCUGGAGUGCGGCAGAGGGGGAUGGAAUUCCGCGUGUAGCAGUGAAAUGCGUAGAUAUGCGGAGGAACACCGAUGGCGAAGGCAAUCCCCUGGGCCUGCACUGACGCUCAUGCACGAAAGCGUGGGGAGCAAACAGG
rnacentral:rRNA from 1 species